UGGGGAAUAUUGCACAAUGGGCGCAAGCCUGAUGCAGCCAUGCCGCGUGUGUGAAGAAGGCCUUCGGGUUGUAAACCACUUUCAGCGAGGAGGAAGGUGGUGGACUUAAUACGUUCAUCAAUUGACGUUACUCGCAGAAGAAGCACCGGCUAACUCCGUGCCAGCAGCCGCGGUAAUACGGAGGGUGCAAGCGUUAAUCGGAAUUACUGGGCGUAAAGCGCNCGCAGGCGGUUUGUUAAGUCAGAUGUGAAAUCCCCGGGCUCAACCUGGGAACUGCAUUUGAAACUGGCAAGCUAGAGUCUCGUAGAGGGGGGUAGAAUUCCAGGUGUAGCGGUGAAAUGCGUAGAGAUCUGGAGGAAUACCGGUGGCGAAGGCGGCCCCCCUGGACGAAGACUGACGCUCAGGCUGCGAAAGCGUGGGGCAGCAAACAGGAUUAGAUACCCUGGUAGUCCACGCUGUAAACGAUGUCNAUUUGGAGGUUGUGCCCUUGAGGCGUGGCUUCCGGAGCUAACGCGUUAAAUCGACCGCCUGGGGAGUACGGCCGCAAGGUU
rnacentral:rRNA from 1 species